AGAGUUUGAUCCUGGCUCAGGACGAACGCUGGCGGCGCGCCUAACACAUGCAAGUCGAACGAGAGAUGAGGAGCUUGCUUCUUCAGAUCGAGUGGCGAACGGGUGAGUAACGCGUGAGGAACCUGCCUCAAAGAGGGGGACAACAGUUGGAAACGACUGCUAAUACCGCAUAAGCCCACGGCUCGGCAUCGAGCAGAGGGAAAAGGAGUGAUCCGCUUUGAGAUGGCCUCGCGUCCGAUUAGCUGGUUGGUGAGGUAACGGCCCACCAAGGCGACGAUCGGUAGCCGGACUGAGAGGUUGAACGGCCACAUUGGGACUGAGACACGGCCCAGACUCCUACGGGAGGCAGCAGUGGGGAAUAUUGCACAAUGGGGGAAACCCUGAUGCAGCGACGCCGCGUGGAGGAAGAAGGUCUUCGGAUUGUAAACUCCUGUUGUUGAGGAAGAUAAUGACGGUACUCAACAAGGAAGUGACGGCUAACUACGUGCCAGCAGCCGCGGUAAAACGUAGGUCACAAGCGUUGUCCGGAAUUACUGGGUGUAAAGGGAGCGCAGGCGGGAGAACAAGUUGGAAGUGAAAUCCAUGGGCUCAACCCAUGAACUGCUUUCAAAACUGUUUUUCUUGAGUAGUGCAGAGGUAGGCGGAAUUCCCGGUGUAGCGGUGGAAUGCGUAGAUAUCGGGAGGAACACCAGUGGCGAAGGCGGCCUACUGGGCACCAACUGACGCUGAGGCUCGAAAGUGUGGGUAGCAAACAGGAUUAGAUACCCUGGUAGUCCACACCGUAAACGAUGAUUACUAGGUGUUGGAGGAUUGACCCCUUCAGUGCCGCAGUUAACACAAUAAGUAAUCCACCUGGGGAGUACGACCGCAAGGUUGAAACUCAAAGGAAUUGACGGGGGCCCGCACAAGCAGUGGAGUAUGUGGUUUAAUUCGACGCAACGCGAAGAACCUUACCAAGUCUUGACAUCCCUUGACGAACAUAGAAAUAUGUUUUCUCUUCGGAGCAAGGAGACAGGUGGUGCAUGGUUGUCGUCAGCUCGUGUCGUGAGAUGUUGGGUUAAGUCCCGCAACGAGCGCAACCCUUAUGGUCAGUUACUACGCAAGAGGACUCUGGCUAGACUGCCGUUGACAAAACGGAGGAAGGUGGGGAUGACGUCAAAUCAUCAUGCCCUUUAUGACU
rnacentral:rRNA from 1 species